AGACUGGGGAUGGAGGUGUUAAUUGAAGGCAGGCAGUGUGGGAAGUAGUGCAAUCACCUGAGAGAGGUCUGAAGGGCUGUGCACCAUGGUGAGAGAGGGGUUCCUUACCUCUGCCUGAUCCCAGCUUUCACCAUGUGCUCUCAUUUUCUAGACACCUGACCCGAGUCUCUGAGGUUCCCUCUGCUGAAGUGAGGAUUUAAAGAAGUUGCUGAAAUAAAUAUGCCUGCCACGGCACCAAAUAAUCAGUCAGUAAGUUGAAUGAAACCACAAGGCCUAGGGAAAGGUGAAGGAUCCAUGUGUGCCUUCCAUGACCCCAACUAGGUUGUUAACCGCAACAGAGAAACAGGACUUCAGAGGGAGUUGCUAACCUUCACUGAAUAGCCUGUCAGCCAGAGAAUGAUACAGAGCACCUUCAAAAGGUCCCCUAAGUAAUGAGCACUAAGGAGGGUUAUAAUGGGCCCAUCAUUAGUUCCAGUUAAUAUUUUGACCUAAUGCCCACAUAUACUACAGGUGUCAUACAGGGCCACCAUAGAAUUAAUCUGCAGGAUAUUUUUUGGUUAUAUGAUGACAACACAUUUCUUCAACAUGUUUCCCGACUUGUAAGCCUUUAUAUGUAUUUUAUAUAAUGCAAGUAAAUUAUGACCUCUUGCAUAUAUUUUUGUAUUUCUUUCCUCAAGAUCAGUCACCCACAGUGAACAAUAAAACAGGUACACAGCCAUGCAAAAGAGAAAAAUAAAUGACAAGGCAUUAAAAACUUACCCUCUAACAAGUAUGGAACAAAACAUAAAUACAGCUACCAGGAAAACUCAUCCUUCCUCUUAUUGUGUGUUCUUUUGUUCAACUGAAUACUUUUAUUUUUCCAAAUCCUGGUACUACUUACAAUUUUGAAAAGGAUGAAAACUUGUUUACUUCACUUCUGCAGGCAUUUUUAUGAGUCUUCUAUAAACUCAUCCCCUGCCUUCCAUAGAGAUCUUACUUUCAUGAUAAGCAAUUUAUUUAGGUCUUUCUAUUAGUGUGUCUGUUUUCCACUUUAUCAAUAUCAUUCACUCAAGAUGUUGGACAUUCUUGCCUUCUCACUUGAUGGUUAAUGAUACUAAUCAUGGUGGUUGUUAAGGAUUCACCUUCUCAAAAGUGAUGGCUUUCCUUGCUGUUCUGUUGGUAGUUUCUUUACAUCACUUCCUCAAGAAUGGCAGUAAUUUUGUAAGCUGAACCAAGAGAAUGCUAAUAUUAUUCAUAUUUCUCAACCAGAUUUAGGGGCAAAUUAAUCUGGCUCCAUUUGUCUGCACUCCUCUCUGUGUGGUGUAGACAGUUAUAUUUUAUUAACCUGUGCAGUCAAACUGCUGAGUGAAUUUCAUGAGACUGUAAUCUGGCAGUCAUACUGUAGAAUCAGUAGAACACAAGUUGCUUUUUUUCUAUGCAGGAACUUAUUAAGAGACAAGUACAAAGAUAAUGAAAAAAUGUUAGCUGUUUGUUUAAAAUCAGUUCUACCAAAGCUUACUGUGUUUCUGAAUACAUUUGUAAUCAACAUUUAAGUUCACUAUGCAUAUUUGAUGCUGAAAUACUUGUUAGAAAUGGAUUCUGCAUAGCUUUGCCAAUUUAGAUAACUUAUUAAAGGCCGCAUUAUUUUGAGGAGUUGGAUAAUGUUAAUUUCUCAAAGGCCAUUGCAAAUAAUUUCAUUCAUUGAGAGACAGUACUUACCAGAGAAGAGAAAAGAAAGUAUUUUGGAUGACAUUUAACUUGACUUCAUUAGGGCACGAGACCUUGAAAUUCUCAUAUGGGCUUACUAAAUACAAAUUGAUUUUCUGUUAGUGUUUUCUUUUUCUCUCUCUCUCUUUCUUUUUUUUUUUCUUCCUUUCUCAAUUGAGUUGUUUUCAGCGACGUUCAAGCACUCUGUGUAAUACUUCUUUUCUUUGGAAAAAAAAAAAAAAAAGAAAAAAAGUUAAAGAAUGAAAGAAUUAAAACUUUUCUUGAGACCAAGCUGUUCAGCACUUAAAAUGAUAAAAUCUGGUCAAUCCAUGUUUGUUUCUUUCUCUGUAGCCACUAAAAAUAAAUCCUUCAGGAGAACAUUUCUUUAGCUCACUUUUUCAUUAUUUCCAGAGGCAAAAGUUGGCAAGGCAAUUUAUAAUUCAAUUUUUGCUAAAUCCACAACACCUAAUAUAUAUGUCAGGCAUUUCAACGGCAGGGUACUUUGGGGAUAGGUGAUAAAUUGUACUGAUUAUAAGUGCAAGCUGUUCUUCCAAAACAUCGUAUCAAAAAGAAGGCAAGUAUUAUUAGGAGAAUGUAAUGUAUCUUUAGAAUGUCCAAAAACAUAAGAGAUAAUCACUUCAUGUGAAUAUAUUCUCCCUUGAGUUUUGCAGCUCAAUAUUAAGGUCUUACCAUGUUUUUGAUAGCACUCAUCUGGAGGGAGGGACCAUCAUGGGUUGGUAGUCUUUCAGCAGCCACAUCACUCUUAGGUCUGCAAUAAUUCAU